AAAUACACCUUGGAGUAUGUCAAACCACUUAUCUACAAAUCGUAUGAAUUCAGUUGUUGCUUCACUGUUUUCAAACCCAUUGAUUUUUAAGUUUCUACAAAAAUCUAUAGCAUCUGCUACACUGGAACUCAAAGUCUGUGCAGCAAUAUUUACCUUCAUAGGAGACUGCUUCCAUUCCAAAUGCCUUUUUUUUAGUUUGUUACCUGCAUGAAGCCCUUCUGAUUCUUGAAGCAUUACAAGCUUUUCAAUUUUAAGUGCAUGGCAAGGAUCUAUUAAACAAUGAAUGACCUUAGAAGGAUCACUUGGAUGUGGAAAAUGUGUUUUUAAAUGUUGUGAUGACAAAUCUGCUCCCAAAAUAUUAGCCAUUGUGAAAUGGGUAGCUGGUCCAUCAAAUGUCAAAGAAGAAAGUCUGUUUAAAGUUUCUAUCACAAUAUUGGCUUUGUCUUGUCCAUUCAGACCUUUGUGAAAGAAGUAAGCCACUGGAACUUUCCAAUUUGAAUCUAUGGCGACCACCAAGAUUACUAAGACUUGUGUUGCAGCCAUUAAUUUAGGGUCAUUUGUUGUCAAAUCUUUACCAAUACUACUUAAACCAUGAAAAUGUUUACCAUCCCACUCUACCUGUUUCUUAAUAUGCAUCUCAUCUAACAUUAAAGAACAAAAUAACCGUUUACCAUUACGUAUUUAUACUCUUCAUAUUUUGUUUGGAGCGCUAUAAAUGAUUCAGUAGUAAAUCCCUCAUCAACUUUUACUUCAUGAUACCAUGAUCUCAAUGUUGUUCUAUGAGGUAGACUUGAACCAAAUUCAGUUCUCACAAAAUCAUAUGCCUUAGGCGAGUAAAAAUUAAGAGUCAGUGCAAAAGCUCUUAAUGCUGGUGAAAAACUCUUUUGCCUUCUUGUUUUAAAGCGACUAAACAUUUCAGUCAUAGCUGUUGGGAAAGUAUCCUCAAUAUAUGACGAAACUUUUUCGUGGAGAUUA